rnacentral:rRNA from 1 species
AAUGCACGCAGGUGCGAUGGGGGGACUCCGAGUGCAGUCUUCCAAAACGGAAGGCCGCUUUUCUGCACUUUAAGCAGGUGCCGAAACAAGGGGUGGGCAAGACGGCUGCCAGCCGCCGCGGUAAUAGCCGCACCCCGAGUGGUAGUCAUUGUUAUUGGGCUUAAAGUGUUCGUAGCCGGACAUACAAGUCUGCUGUGAAAUCCAUGCGCUUAACGUAUGGACAUGCAGCGGAUACUGUGUGUCUAGGAACCGGACGGCGUCGAGGCUAUUCCCGGGGUAGGGGUGAAAUCCUAAAAUCCUGGGAGGAGCACCUGUGGCGAAAGCGCUCGACGAGUACGGAUUCGACGGUGAGGAACGAAAGCCAGUGGAGCAAAGCGGAUUAGAUACCCGCGUAGUACUGGCUGUAAACAUUGUGCGUUUGAUGUCGGACAACCUCCGAGGUUGUCCGGUGCCGAAGUGAAAACGUUAAACGCACCGCCUGGGGAGUACGGUCGCAAGGCUGAAACUUAAAGGAAUU